CGCAUCUGUGCAUGCAGCAUAUCAAUAAGCGGAGGAAAAGAAACUAACAAGGAUUCCCUUAGUAACGGCGAGUGAAGCGGGAAGAGCUCAAAUUUGAAAUCUUCAAGGUUUUACCUUGACGAAUUGUAGUUUAAAGAAGUGUUUUCUGUUGAAGUUUUGGUAAAAGUUCUUUGGAAUAGGACAUCAUAGAGGGUGAGAAUCCCGUAUUUGACCAUUAUUUUCAGCUGUGUGAUACACUUUCAAAGAGUCGGAUUGUUUGGGAAUGCAGUCCAAAAUGGGUGGUAAAUUUCAUCUAAAGCUAAAUAUUGGCGAGAGACCGAUAGCGAACAAGUACCGUGAAGGAAAGAUGAAAAGAACUUUGAAAAGAGAGUUAAACAGUACGUGAAAUUGUCAAAAGGGAAGCGUUUGACACCAGUGUUGUUUUCUCGAAAAUCAAUUAAAAAGAGUUAGAUUUUGUUGUGUAUUGACCUUAACAGCUUGCAUUUCAAUUUUCUUGCUUUUUUUAAUGCACUUUUCGUUUAACAAGUCAACAUCAGUUUCUUUUGUUGUAAAAAGGUCAUUGGAAGGUGGCUUUCUUUUCGGAGAAAGUGUUUAUAGCCUUUGACUCCUGCAAUCGGAGAGACUGAGGUCUGCAGCGUAGAUCCUUCGGGGUUAGAUACAUUUGUGCUAAGUUAUAGCUUUUUAUAGACAACUUGUUGACUAUGAUUAGUCUUGUAGCUUACUCGCUUAUGCUAUUUUACCUACGCUUAGGAUGUUGACGCGCGUGUGUGCGUG
rnacentral:rRNA from 1 species